CCCAGACUCCUACGGGAGGCAGCAGUGGGGAAUAUUGGGCAAUGGGCGCAAGCCUGACCCAGCAACGCCGCGUGAAGGAAGAAGGCUUUCGGGUUGUAAACUUCUUUUGUCAGGGACGAAGCAAGUGACGGUACCUGACGAAUAAGCCACGGCUAACUACGUGCCAGCAGCCGCGGUAAUACGUAGGUGGCAAGCGUUAUCCGGAUUUAUUGGGUGUAAAGGGCGUGUAGGCGGGAAUGCAAGUCAGAUGUGAAAACUAUGGGCUCAACCUGUGGCCUGCAUUUGAAACUGUUUUUCUUGAGUACUGGAGAGGCAGACGGAAUUCCUAGUGUAGCGGUGAAAUGCGUAGAUAUUAGGAGGAACACCAGUGGCGAAGGCGGCCUGCUGGACGACAACUGACGGUGAGGCGCGAAAGCGUGGGGAGCAAACAGGAUUAGAUACCCCAGUAUGG
rnacentral:rRNA from 1 species